CCUCUUUGUAGUUAAGUUAUGGCCAUACAUAUUACAUAUGAAACAAACCAUUCGAAUCCCCCCUCCCUCUCAAUCCUGUUCUUCUUUGUCUUCAAUCUUCGAAGGAAAACACAAACCUGACCCUUCUUCUCCGUCUUCGUAUUUUGAAGCACAAUUUCAGUCGGUUUUCAUCAUAUUCCAAGGUUACCAACAAAAACAACAUCAGCUAUACUUUCCUCUUAGUUAAUUUGAUUUUCAAAGCACAUCGUAGCAUUCAUCUCCAUGACCUUCUUAUUUUCGAACCCUAAAUGCAGGCGACAGCCAUGGUUAAGCUUUCCACACCUUGAUUUUUGAACUACACAACAUCUUCGACCUGCUUAAUUUGCUUGAGAUUUUCGAACCAAAACAGUUAGUUUGCCCUCAAAUUCUUGGUACAUCCGAACACGUCAAUAGCUAAAUUCUUUAAUUUUUCUUUUUCCUCUUUUCUUUAAAACAUAGCUGAAUUUCUAAUUUAUGUUUCUAUUAUUCACAUCCUACUUUAUUGAUUUGUUUUGAGUCGUUUGGUUCUUGAAAAAGGCAGCAACAUCAUCAAAUAUCAUCACCUUCUACGUUUAAUUCAGGAGGCAUGAUAUGCAAAUGUCAAACCCUGCAAUCAAGUAUUGAUCGAGAGAGUGGCAUCUGAUAGUGUACAUCGAGAGUGAAGAUUCUACACUUACAUUACGAGACUCUACACUUGAUUCCGUGGUGACUACUAAGAUUGGAGAAUGAAGAUUGGAGGAGGAGCGUCGAAGCCUCGAAGAAGCACAGAAGCACUGUCGACUGUCGAUGGGUUGAAGGCUUGAAGCUCGAAGAUUUGAAGCCUCGAAGGAGGGCCGGAGGCGAGGAAUUAGAGAGGAGGCGAGGAAACAGAGAGAAGGCGAGGAAGAGAGGAGAAUGUCACGACUCACGAUUUUGGAAAAGGAGAUGGAGGCAGCCAGCAGCAAUAGUUCACUCACGAGUAGUUGCCCACUUGCCCUAAUCCCCUAAAAUAUGAUUUUAAUACGGUUUUUCGGUCCGGUUUGGUUUGAAAAUUUUAAAACCGGGACUGGACCGUAAACCGUUUUAAAAAAAAAAAUAGACUGUAGACCAGACCAAAUAUUUAAAUUACGGUUUGGUCCGGUUUGGUUUACGGUUUAGACCAAACCAUGUUCAGCCCUAGAUAUUGUUAUAUGGUCAAUGGAUCGGGCUCACGAGCUGGUCAUUUAAAUAUUGACUAGCCUCACCCGAAAGUGUUAUAGCCUUAGAACUAUAAAUGUUCCUCUCAACUAGACUCCUAGUGCGCACAAAGAUCUAGGAAACUAAUAUUGCUUUUAAAUCUUUUAUUUUGAUUUCAUGUUUGUUUUGUUUUGGAUUGCUUCUGCUCAUUCAGUUUUAUCUGACUCCAUGUUGUUUCCAUCUUUUAAUUUGU